rnacentral:tRNA from 1 species
GGAGGGAUGCGCCGAGUGGCUAAGGCGGCGGCCUGCUAAGCCGUAGGGGGGUUAUGAAGCCUCCCUCCCGGGUUCGAAUCCCGGUCCCUCCGCCA